rnacentral:rRNA from 1 species
GACGAACGCUGGCGGCGUGCCUAAUACAUGCAAGUAGAACGCACAGUUUAUACCGUAGCUUGCUACACCAUAGACUGUGAGUUGCGAACGGGUGAGUAACGCGUAGGUAACCUGCCUGGUAGCGGGGGAUAACUAUUGGAAACGAUAGCUAAUACCGCAUAAUAUUGAUUAUUUCAUGAUAAUUGAUUGAAAGAUGCUAUUGCAUCACUACCAGAUGGACCUGCGUUGUAUUAGCUAGUAGGUGAGGUAACGGCUCACCUAGGCGACGAUACAUAGCCGAACUGAAAGGGUGAUAGGACACACUGGGACGGAGACACGGCCAAGACUCCUACGAGAGGCAGCAGUAGGGAAUCUUCGGCAAUGGAAGAAAGUCGGAACGAGCAACGCCGCGUGAGAGAAGAAGGUUGUCGGAUCGUAAAGCUCUGUUGGAAGAGAAGAACGGGUGUGAGAGUGGAAAGUUCACACUGUGACGGUAUCGUACCAGAAAGAGACGGCUAACUACGUG